rnacentral:rRNA from 1 species
UACGUAGGGGGCAAGCGUUGUCCGGAAUUAUUGGGCGUAAAGAGCGUGUAGGCGGUCCGGUAAGUCGGCUGUGAAAACCCGCGGCUCAACCGCGGGCCUGCAGCCGAUACGGGCAGGCUAGAGUUCGGUAGGGGAGACUGGAAUUCCUGGUGUAGCGGUGAAAUGCGCAGAUAUCAGGAGGAACACCGGUGGCGAAGGCGGGUCUCUGGGCCGAUACUGACGCUGAGGAGCGGAAGCGUGGGGAGCGAACAGG